rnacentral:rRNA from 1 species
GAUGAACGCUGGCGGCGUGCUUAACACAUGCAAGUCGAACGAAUCUUGAGGAGCUUGCUCCUCUUGGUUAGUGGCGGACGGGUGAGUAACGCGUGGGUAACCUGCCCUAUGCAGGGGGAUAACGUUUGGAAACGAACGCUAAUACCGCAUAAUAAAGAAGAAUCGCAUGAUUUUUCUUUCAAAGAUUUAUCGGCAAUAGGAUGGACCCGCGUUGGAUUAGCUAGUUGGUGAGAUAACAGCCCACCAAGGCAACGAUCUAUAGCCGGCCUGAGAGGGUGAACGGCCACAUUGGGACUGAGACACGGCCCAAACUCCUACGGGUGGCAG